CCUACGGGUGGCAGCAGUGGGGAAUAUUGCACAAUGGGGGAAACCCUGAUGCAGCAACGCCGCGUGAAGGAAGACGGUUUUCGGAUCGUAAACCUCUGUCCUCAGUGAAGAAGAUGGACGGUAGUGAAGGAGCAAGCCACGGCUAACUACGUGCCAGCAGCCGCGGUAAUAGGUAGGUGGCAAGCGUUGUCCGGAAUUCCUGGGUGUAAAGGGAGCGCAGGCGGGAAGCCAAGCCAGCUGUGAAAACUACGGGCUUAACUUGUAGACUGCUGUUGAAACUGGUUUCCUUGAGUGAAGUAGGGGUUGGCGGAAUUCCGGGUGUAGCGGUGAAAUGCGUAGAUAUUCGGAGGAACACCGGUGGCGAAGGCGGCCAACUGGGCUUUAACUGACGCUGAGGCUCGAAAGUGUGGGGAGCAAACAGGAUUAGAUACCCCAGUAGUC
rnacentral:rRNA from 1 species